CCUACGGGAGGCUGCAGUGAGGAAUAUUGGUCAAUGGACGAGAGUCUGAACCAGCCAAGUAGCGUGAAGGAUGACUGCCCUAUGGGUUGUAAACUUCUUUUAUAUGGGAAUAAAAUGUUCCACGUGUGGGAUUUUGUAUGUACCAUAUGAAUAAGGAUCGGCUAACUCCGUGCCAGCAGCCGCGGUAAUACGUAGGAUCCGAGCGUUAUCCGGAUUUCUUGGGUUUAAAGGGAGCGUAGGUGGUUUGUUAAGUCAGUUGUGAAAGUUUGCGGCUCAACCGUAAAAUUGCAGUUGAAACUGGAAGACUUGAGUACAGUAGAGGUGGGCGGAAUUCGUGGUGUAGCGGUGAAAUGCUUAGAUAUCACGAAGAACUCCGAUUGCGAAGGCAGCUCACUGGACUGCAACUGACACUGAGGCUCGAAAGUGUGGGUAUCAAACAGGAUUAGAUACCCUUGUAGUC
rnacentral:rRNA from 1 species